rnacentral:lncRNA from 1 species
GCAAAAAUUGAGUUAGCUUUGUUCACUUUUUCGCAUAUGUGUCUUUCAGAGGUUAAAUCUUCAUCAAUUACUACUCCAAUAUCCUUCUCUUCUUUACAUUUGCUAAAAUCAUGACCUAAUAGCUUAUAACUUGUCUUGUCAUCUCUCACCCCUCUACUUAUAUUUAUGUGUUUGCAUUUUUCUGGAUGGAACUUCAACAGCCAUGUAUCAAUCCAUUUCUCGAGAUUGUUUAGGUCAUUUUGUAGUAUAAUUUAUUGAAUCCAGAUAUCUGGCGUGUUUCCCUUUUUUGUACAUUUUCGAUUUUGUGAAUGGAUUUCUUUUUGAAAGGUGCCCAUACUGAACUAGCAUAGUCUAAGUGUGUUCUCACUAAUGUUUUGUAAUGUGGUAUGAAGAUUUUUUCAUUUAAGUUUUUAAAUGUCCUUCUGAUUGCAGCAAAAAUUGAAUUAGCUUUGUUCACUUUUUCGCAUAUGUGUCUUUCAAAGGUUAAAUCUUCAUCAAUUACUACUCCAAUAUCUUUCUCUUCUUUAGAACUUUGCUAAUAUCAUGACCUAAUAGUUUAUAACUUGUUUUGUCAUCUCUUACCCCUCUACUUAUAUUUAUGUGUUUGCAUUUUUCUGGAUGGAACUUCAACAGCCAUGUAUCACUCCAUUUCUCGAGAUUUUUAAGGACAUUUUGCAGAGAUAUUUUGAUCUGAUUUGCUUUCAAUAAUUCUGAAGAUUUUUGUGUCAUCCGCGA